rnacentral:rRNA from 1 species
GAUGAACGCUGGCGGCGUGCCUAAUACAUGCAAGUCGAGCGAACGGACGAGAAGCUUGCUUCUCUGAUGUUAGCGGCGGACGGGUGAGUAACACGUGGAUAACCUACCUAUAAGACUGGGAUAACUUCGGGAAACCGGAGCUAAUACCGGAUAAUAUUUUGAACCUCAUGGUUCAAAAGUGAAAGACGGUCUUGCUGUCACUUAUAGAUGGAUCCGCGCUGCAUUAGCUAGUUGGUAAGGUAACGGCUUACCAAGGCAACGAUGCAUAGCCGGCCUGAGAGGGUGAUCGGCCACACUGGAACUGAGACACGGUCCAGACUCCUACGGGAGGCAGCAGUAGGGAAUCUUCCGCAAUGGGCGAAAGCCUGACGGAGCAACGCCGCGUGAGUGAUGAAGGUCUUCGGAUCGUAAAACUCUGUUAUUAGGGAAGAACAUAUGUGUAAGUAACUGUGCACAUCUUGACGGUACCUAAUCAGAAAGCCACGGCUAACUACGUG